GAGUUUGAUCGUGGCUCAGGACGAACGCUGGCGGCGUGCCUAAUACAUGCAAGUCGAGCGAGGGUUUUCGGACCCUAGCGGCGGACGGGUGAGUAACACGUAGGCAACCUGCCUCUCAGACCGGGAUAACAUAGGGAAAUUUAUGCUAAUACCGGAUAGGUUUUUGGAUUGCAUGAUCCGAAAAGAAAAGAUGGCUUUUGGCUAUCACUGGGAGAUGGGCCUGCGGCGCAUUAGCUAGUUGGUGGGGUAACGGCCUACCAAGGCGACGAUGCGUAGCCGACCUGAGAGGGUGACCGGCCACACUGGGACUGAGACACGGCCAGACUCCUACGGGAGGCAGCAGUAGGGAAUUUUCCGCAAUGGACGAAAGUCUGAUGGAGCAACGCCGCGUGAACGAUGAAGGUCUUCGGAUUGUAAAGUUCUGUUGUCAGGGACGAACACGUACCGUUCGAAUAGGGCGGUACCUUGACGGUACCUGACGAGAAAGCCACGGCUAACUACGUGCCAGCCGCCGCCGUAAG
rnacentral:rRNA from 1 species